rnacentral:rRNA from 1 species
CACGUAGGAGGCGAGCGUUGUCCGGAAUCAUUGGGCGUAAAGAGCGCGCAGGCGGCUUGGCAAGUCGGGUGUGAAAUCCCGGGGCUCAACCCCGUGACUGCAUCCGAUACUGUCAGGCUAGAGGUAGGUAGGGGAGAUCGGAAUUCCUGGUGUAGCGGUGAAAUGCGCAGAUAUCAGGAGGAACACCGGUGGCGAAGGCGGAUCUCUGGGCCUUACCCGACGCUCAGGCGCGAAAGCUAGGGGAGCGAACAGG